rnacentral:lncRNA from 1 species
GGAAACAGAGCAGGCGCUGCGCACACCCAGGCUGGCCCUGGCCUUGGCCCUACCGCGUUCUACCAGCCAUGAUGAAGAGCUGGUGGCUGCAGGGAGCGGCCGCUAGGGGCGCCCUCACCUCCUCCAGGGUGUGGUAGGUGGCGUAGUUAAAAGUGUCGGUGGAGCGCGCCCGGGACCGGAAGGCGAACAUCUGCUCCUGCUCCUCGUCCUCCAGCUCCUUCACCUUCUGUACCUGGGCCUCAUCGGCUACAGAGAUUCGGAGCACCUGAUGCCUGGGCAGAGUGGGAGUGGGGAGUGAGCACCCAAGCUGCACCUGCCCUGGCCACAAGCACUCCCCAGGUGCAGGAGGGAGGCAGCAGCCCAGAAUCCCCAGACUGGGCCUCGUCCUCUGGGCUGGGCAGGGGACAGCACCAAGGGUCUCAACAAGGAGAGGCCUGGGCUCCCUCACCU